GUGAGGAAUAUUGGUCAAUGGGCGAGAGCCUGAACCAGCCAAGUCGCGUGAAGGAAGAAGGAUCUAUGGUUCGUAAACUUCUUUUGCAGGGGAAUAAAGUGCGGGACGUGUCCUGUUUUGUAUGUACCCUGAGAAUAAGGAUCGGCUAACUCCGUGCCAGCAGCCGCGGUAAUACGGAGGAUCCGAGCGUUAUCCGGAUUUAUUGGGUUUAAAGGGUGCGUAGGUGGUUUGAUAAGUCAGCGGUGAAAGUUUGCAGCUUAACUGUAAAAAUGCCGUUGAAACUGACGGACUUGAGUAUAAAUGAAGUAGGCGGAAUGCGUGGUGUAGCGGUGAAAUGCAUAGAUAUCACGCAGAACUCCGAUUGCGAAGGCAGCUUACUAAGCUACAACUGACACUGAAGCACGAAAGCGUGGGGAUCAAACAGGAUUAGAAACCCUUGUAGUCC
rnacentral:rRNA from 1 species